AUGGCAGCGGCUGUCCAAAGCCUCAGGCAGAGAACUCUUUCCAACAUCGGCCACCAGGUCUCUCUUAACUGGGGGUGUUGGGGAAUGAACCUGGAGCUCUCAGCAUGCCACAUCCAUGCUGUUCCACAGAACUGUGGUGUCUCCAAAUUUCUGCACAAAUCACCGAUGUGGAUAUCCCUGCUGCUUAGAACAAGGCAAACCCAGGGCAGGAACUCAUGCAGAGAUGCAACAGCCAGUCUCCUCUGUGUGCAUUCAAUUCAGUGUGUGUGUCCUUGGGUGGCGCUUGGGGGGGAACUGUCAUCCCGCCACUCCUUGGUGUGUGGAGUGCCUCAGGGUGCGAUUCUCUCCCCGAUGCUUUUUAACAUCUUUAUGCGCCCCCUCGCCCAGCUUGUCCGGAGUUUUGGGCUGGGCUGCCAUCAGUAUGCUGAUGACACCCAACUCUAUCUGUUGAUGGAUGGCCAUCCUGACUCGGCCCCAGACACACUGAUCAGAUGCUUGGAAGCUGUGGCUGGAUGGUUACGUGGGAGCCGGUUGAAGUUAAAUCCUUCGAAGACAGAGGUCCUCUGGCUGGGACGGGACGAUAUGGGAUUGAGGGGGCAACUCCCAUCUCUUGCGGGGGUGCAAUUAGUGCCAGCACCGUCCGUUAAGAGUUUGGGUGUAAUCUUCGAUACCUCCCUCUCCAUGGAGGCGCAGAUUGCAGCUAUAACAAAGGCGGCAUUCUUUCAUCUCCGCCAAGCUAAGCAGUUGGCUCCUUACCUCUCUCGCCCUGACCUAGCCACUGUGAUCCACGCGACGGUCACCUCCAGACUGGAUUAUUGUAACUCGCUCUACGUGGGGCUGCCCUUGAGACUGACCCAGAAACUCCAGCGGGUACAGAAUGCCGCAGCGAGACUCCUUACGGGGUCUUCGCUGCGGGAUCGCAUUCAUCCGGUGCUAUACCAGCUGCACUGGCUCCCGGUGGAGUACAGGAUCAGGUUUAAGGUGCUGGUUUUAACCUUCAAAGCCCUACACGGCCUAGGACCCUCGUAUCUACGGGACCGCCUCUCCUGGUAUGCCCCACAGAGGAACUUACGGUCCUCAAAUAAAAACAUCUUGAAGGUCCCAGGCCACAGAGAGGUUAGGCUGGCCUCAACUAGAGCCAGGGCUUUUUCGGCUGCGGCUCCAACCUGGUGGAACGCUCUGUCACAAGAGACAAGGGCCCUGCAGGACUUGACAUCUUUCCGCAGGGCCUGCAAGACAGAGCUGUUCCACCAGGCCUUUGGUUAG
ensembl:lncRNA